AGGACCAAAAUCUAUGGAGGUUUAGGUUUCCGAGACCUAGAACUCUACAACCUCGCAUUGCUAGCUCAUGGGACAUGGAGAAUUAUUCGGGAGCUAAAUUCGUUGAGUGCCAGAAUACUGAAGGCGGUUUAUUUCCCUGAGUCCUCGUUGCUCGUAGCAAUGGUGGGCUCCCACCCCUCACAAAUAUGGGGGUUCAUUAUUGAAGGGUGAGAUGUUCUUGCACAAGGUUUAAUUAGAAGGAUUGGAUACGGUGCAACUAUUGAGAUUUGGGGACACAAUUGGCUGCCGAGAGAGGGUUCGAUGAGGCCAAUCACGUCAUCACUUACUGCCAACGUGUUCUUACCGAAAGAACUUAUUGAUGAAACUUAA
rnacentral:rRNA from 1 species